UUUUGCACCCCUCCUCUACCUCUCUGCAGAUGAUCUCCUCUCCAUCCCUUCAUACACGCAUCCAUACAUACAUACGCACAGCGGGUGGGGCGGGCGGAAAACGAUAACAUGAUCAAGUUCAACCUGAAGUUGAUGGGGUUGUGCCUUGUCGGCUUCCUUUUGUCAAGCUAUGCGUAUUCCGUCGAGGUGCACGCCGAGCGGGCGAAGCUGCUCGGCAUCACCUACAACGCCUACUGCGAUAUCGGACCUUUCUCAUGCACGAAGGUCUUCUCUUCGGAGUUCAGUUCCGUUACCCACUUCUUUGGGCUUCCAAAGACCUCCAACGCGCUCGUGGGGAUGCUCUACUACACGGUGGAGAUGCUGUGUUGCUGGCAUCCGACGCUAAUCUUGAUGGUCAGCGCGCCGAGCAUUGUGGCCACGGUGUGCCUCGCCUUUAUUCUCACAGUAACCCUGCAUGACUUCUGCGUGGUGUGCUGCUGCACCUAUGUGGUGAACGUGACGACGGUGUACGUUGCGUACCGAUGGUGGAAGCGAAGCGCGGCGAGCAAGGCGGCAGUAGCAUCAUCGUCAUCGAAGAAGUCCAAGAAGCGCGCGUGAGUCACCCAUCUCUCGCCCUCUUCCUCCUUCCUCUCGUUGAGUGGUGAACACAUGGCGAGGGAGACUGGGAAGAGCGCUAGCACAGCCUCCGAACGAGGCUCAUGCGUCGGAAGCCUUGCGAGACGCAGCCUGCUAUAACACAAAUGGGUCCCAUGCUGAACACGGAAGGAGGAGGUGCUCCCGUGCGUCAGUGCGGUUGAUGUGGGGUCGAGGGUGUGCGCGUAUUGGUGCGAGACACUCGUUCUUUUUGCUUGUUGGGUUUCUCUGUACAGUUGCGGCGAAGAAGAUGGACGUAUGAGCACGCUACACAUGUGCGAUGCAACGAUUUGUGGGGUGGGUUGAUUAAGGGGCCCGGGCAUGGCCUCUGCGCAUAUUCGCCGCCUCCUCUUUCUCUCACU
rnacentral:misc_RNA from 1 species